rnacentral:rRNA from 1 species
UAGGGAAUCUUCGGCAAUGGACGGAAGUCUGAUCGAGCAACGCCGCGUGAGUGAAGAAGGUUUUCGGAUCGUAAAGCUCUGUUGUAAGAGAAGAACGAGUGUGAGAGUGGAAAGUUCACACUGUGACGGUAUCUUACCAGAAAGGGACGGCUAACUACGUGCCAGCAGCCGCGGUAAUACGUAGGUCCCGAGCGUUGUCCGGAUUUAUUGGGCGUAAAGCGAGCGCAGGCGGUUAGAUAAGUCUGAAGUUAAAGGCUGUGGCUUAACCAUAGUAGGCUUUGGAAACUGUUUAACUUGAGUGCAAGAGGGGAGAGUGGAAUUCCAUGUGUAGCGGUGAAAUGCGUAGAUAUAUGGAGGAACACCGGUGGCGAAAGCGGCUCUCUGGCUUGUAACUGACGCUGAGGCUCGAAAGCGUGGGGAGCAAACAGGAUUAGAUACCCUGGUAGUCCACGCUGUAAACGAUGAGUGCUAGGUGUUAGACCCUUUCCGGGGUUUAGUGCCGUAGCUAACGCAUUAAGCACUCCGCCUGGGGAGUACGACCGCAAGGUUG